rnacentral:misc_RNA from 1 species
AAGUCGUAACAAGGUUUCCGUAGGUGAACCUGCGGAAGGAUCAUUAAAAAAGUUAACUCAUCGAUUUGGGUUUUCUUAACUCAUAUCAACCUUGUGUGCACCUAAAAUUGUAACUGGCGAAAGCUAAGCUCUGGUUAGGUUAGGUUAGGUCUAAGUUCUGGUUAGUAGAGGUCGUCAGAUCUCGAAAGUUAGGCUAAGAUCUGACUUAACCUCUGGAGGUUACUUCGCCAACAGUUAAACCUUAGAAAUUUUGUUUAGUAACUUAAGUUUAAUAAAACUUAAUAAGUAACAACUUUUGACAACGGAUCUCUUGGCUCUC